GUGAAUGCUGGCGGUAUGGAUAAGGCAUACAAGUCGAAUGGGUUUAGACCCAUGGCAGACGAGGUAGUAACGCGUAGGAACGUCCCCGAAAGUCGGGCAUAACUCGUCGAAAGGCGAGAUAAUUCCCGAUGGUCUCGCAAGAGUAAAGAUUUAUCGCUUUCGGAGCGGCCUGCGUAAUAUCAGCUAGUUGGUAAGGUAAUGGCUUACCAAGGCUACGACGUUUAGGGGAGCUGAGAGGCUGACCCCAACCGAUGAGACUGAGACACGGCUCAUACCCCUACGGGGGGCCGCAGCCGAGAAUAUUCGACAAUGGGCGAAAGCCUGAUCGAGCGAUACCGCGUGGUGGAUGAAGUGAUUCGUCACCUAAACAUCUUUUAUGAGGGAAGAAGUUAUUGACAUUACCUCAUGAAUAAGGGGCUCCUAACUCUGU
rnacentral:rRNA from 1 species